GGAAUAUUGGACAAUGGGCGAAAGCCUGAUCCAGCCAUGCCGCGUGAGUGAAGAAGGCCUUAGGGUUGUAAAGCUCUUUCGGCGGGGAAGAUGAUGACGGUACCCGCAGAAGAAGCCCCGGCUAACUCCGUGCCAGCAGCCGCGGUAAUACGGAGGGGGCUAGCGUUGCCCGGAAUUCCUGGGCGUAAAGGGCGCGUAGGCGGACUAGCAAGUCAGGCGUGAAAGCCCCGGGCUCAACCUGGGAACAGCGCUUGAGACUGCUAGUCUUGAGUUCGGGAGAGGGUAGUGGAAUUCCCAGUGUAGAGGUGAAAUUCGUAGAUAUUGGGAAGAACACCAGUGGCGAAGGCGGCUACCUGGACCGAUACUGACGCUGAGGCGCGAAAGCGUGGGGAGCAAA
rnacentral:rRNA from 1 species